UCGCAACAAAAAUGUUAUAACUUCAUAUUUAUAUAAGUAAUCUUAACUAGUUCCUAAAUUGAACAUACUGAGGAUGCAUUUCUAUUUUAUGUAUUUUACAGAUUUCGAAUGUGAUUAAUAAAUCACUUUUCAAUAAUUGAAAUUUGAUUAUUCGGUCACCUAAUGACUCUCUCCAUUGCACUUCUGCAUGAAAAGCCACAAUUUUUAAAAGAAUGUUGUGAACUACUUAAUGAAGAAUGGCAAAGAAGUGAAUCUGCUCGAAUGAGAACCUUUGAAAAUUCAUGUAACAAUCUUCCAACUAACAUAAUUCUAUUGGAGAAUGAACUUUUAAUAGGGCAUUUGAAAUUAUCUAGAAUUCCUUCUAUUAUAGAGGGAUGUUUUAUAGAAUCCGUUGUAAUUAAGAAACAAUUACGAGGCAGAGGAUAUGGAACAAAAAUAAUGAAGAUGGCCGAAGAUUAUUGCAAAUAUUUUUUGAAUCUGAAAAAAAUUUAUUUGUCAACAAAAGAUCAAGUAAAAUUUUAUAGCAAAUUAGGAUAUGAAGAGUGCCCUCCAAUUUCAAUUUAUGGUUGCCAUUCAAAUUUAAUUGGAAAUAGUCGUUUAUAUUCAGACAAAAUGGAGUCCGGAAGUUAUUCUAAUGCUAAACAAUCUGGGAAAACAUAUAUGACAAAACUUUUAUGAGAUGUGAUGGUAAUUUUCAACUGAUUGAGAAUUUUCAUGUUGGGAGUUCAUUAGUUAUUAUCACAGUGUGAAAUAGUUUUGCUAUGAAGUAAAUUUUAAAUAAUGAAAUCCAUAAAACAGCAAUGCUACGAGUUCAAUCAAAGUAUUAUGAUUUUUCUAUCAAA